CGGUGAGGUGGCCCAUGGAGCAGGCGGCGGGGAGAGGGGAUCAUCGAGCGGCAGCGGCGCAGGCAGGAAGGCAGGCAGCUAAGAGCGGGGUCCUGAGGGAGGGCGCUGUUGCCUUGGCGACCGGAGGGUGUAGGGCCAGGGCUGAGGUUGGCUUGGCCUCAACUGAUGCACAUUUCUGUGCUGUUUGACUACUGAAUGCUUGCAGGCAAGGAAAAUUGACACCAGAAAAGAGGGGGUGACUGUCAGGCAACACUGCAGACUGUAUAAAGCCAUGAGCAACCUGUUCUAGUGUCACAGCUGAGCCUGUGUCGAGCAGGUUGGAAUUUAUAGCUGCCUGAGAUCCUGUCCAACCUGAACUACCAAGUGAGUCACUAUUGGAUCAUCCAAAGAGCUGAGCUUCAUCUAAGGUGUCAAAUAUUGGUCAUUUUAUUACACAUUAACACCUAUAUAUUAAAUUGCUUCAAUUUGGCCUCUUGUAGAUAGUAGGAAACAUCUCCUGAUUGAAAAUUCCUUGACGUACACAAAACAAUAUCUGGGCUGCUGUUGUCUCGCUUUGAGACUCUCAGGCAGGCUUGCUGGUUUGUUUAAUAUCAGAUAAUGACAAGUUUCUUUAAUAUCUGAUAAUGUCACUGUUUCAUAUCACACAAAAGUGUGUUGAGAUGCACCCUUGUUUAAGAAGUACAUCAAGAGACUCUAUGAUAUCAACUAUCAAUUGCAUUGGCUGGCUUGUAGGAAAACCAGGUUUCGGGUACUUUAUUACUUUGCUGAAGUUGAUGUUGAUAUGUGGUACCAUAAACUGUCCCAAAAGAAGGGUCUGAUAAUAUUUUAACAUGAGAAGGGACUGAAUUGAGAUUUUCAGUCCUUAGUUUCACUGUUCAAAGUGACAAUACUUUUCUGAAUGUUCCCCAUAAGAGUCUGGGAAGUGGAUUAUUGUCCCAGUUCAGAACUGCUUCUAGCAGAGAACAGGGGAGGAGGGGGAAUCCUUGCCAUUUAUCAACAGGCAGCAGAAACUUCAGAUUUGGCUGCUUGACAGGAGAAGAUGCUGUUCCAGCCUCAGGAUUUGAUUUCAUUCUCUCAUAAAUCUGAGUACAAAAUUCUUACUGCCAAAAUUGUUUAAAAGCAAA